UACGGAGGGGGCGAGCGUUGUUCGGAAUCAUUGGGCGUAAAGGGCGCGUAGGCGGCCGACCAAGUCGGAUGUGAAAUCCCUCGGCUCAACCGAGGAACUGCACUCGAUACUGGUUGGCUAGAGUCCGGGAGGGGAUGGUGGAAUUCCCAGUGUAGCGGUGAAAUGCGUAGAUAUUGGGAAGAACACCGGUGGCGAAGGCGGCCAUCUGGACCGGCACUGACGCUGAGGCGCGAAAGCCAGGGGAGCGAAUGGGAUUAGAUACCCUGGUAGU
rnacentral:rRNA from 1 species